UACGAAGGGGGCUAGCGUUGCUCGGAAUCACUGGGCGUAAAGGGUGCGUAGGCGGGUCUUUAAGUCAGGGGUGAAAUUCUGGAGCUCAACUCCAGAACUGCCUUUGAUACUGAAGAUCUUGAGUUCGGGAGAGGUGAGUGGAACUGCGAGUGUAGAGGUGAAAUUCGUAGAUAUUCGCAAGAACACCAGUGGCGAAGGCGGCUCACUGGCCCGAUCCUGACGCUGAGGCACGAAAGCGUGGGGAGCAAACAGG
rnacentral:rRNA from 1 species